rnacentral:misc_RNA from 1 species
GUCAUGAUGAAAAUCAAAGAUCUGGUUGGGAAGAGAUGGAGUUCCAUUUUCAGAGGCAGAUGGGGAGAUGGAGAUCAAAAACAAUUUGAAAGCAGUUUACAUAUGACAGAAGAAGAAUGAAAACUAAUUUGAAAGUUGACAAAAAUACCGACAAGGGCAGAAAGCUUGCAAUCUCAAAUCAAAUAAUUUCUCCUGACAUGAUGAACUCGGCUGCAAUUGACCAAGUUAAGGAGAAGGGUGUGAAAUUUAGC